UCGCCCACAAUGCCUUCAACGGUUUCAACACGGAUGCGGUCUCGUGUGCCAAGUGUGAGCGGACGCGAAGCGCUGCGAGCCAGUCGGUCACGUACCGAAGCCCUUCCGAGGGGCAUCCCUGUUGGAGUCGUUUCCGGCUCCCCGCCGGAUUCGGUUUCAACUUUGGUCUCCUCGCGCUAACCCCGUAGCGUGUGGUUUUUAGCGGGCUCAUAAGCCCGCUUUUUUUCG
rfam:Burkholderia dolosa ATO158 cont1.15, whole genome shotgun sequence.